rnacentral:rRNA from 1 species
UACGUAGGGUGCGAGCGUUGCCCGGAUUUAUUGGGCGUAAAGGGCGCGUAGGCGGCCACGCACGUCCGUUGUGAAAUCGCCCGGCUCAACUGGGCGGGGUCAGCGGAUACGGUGUGGCUCGAGCAAGCUAGGGGGCAAUGGAAUUCCCCGGUGUAGUGGUGGAAUGCGUAGAUAUCGGGAGGAACUCCGGCGGCGAAAGCGGUGCGACUGGUGG